CUCUGGGGAGCUGGGACUAUAGCUUUUAUCACAUUCGCAAACAUGUUGCUGACCCCAAUAAGGUUAGGAAAUACAUACUUAUCUAUUGCACUUUUUUUUCCCAGACAGGUGAUCAAGCUCCAAGAAAUGAAGGGGAUUGCCAGGUACACUCAGGUAGUGCUUGAGUUAGGAUUGCAAAUCACACCAGGCUUCCAUAUGAUGAAAAGAACAGGUGCUGGUAAGUCCUCAAGAAUGGGUGAUUCAAGUGCAGAGGAGUGAUCUGCCUCUUCCCCAACUACAUUCCUACUUAACACAAUGCCUGGAACACACUGAAUCAAAUCUUAACGAGUUAACAUAUUUGCUUGAGUCCACAAAGCUAGCAUGUGACAGAAUCCAGAAUUUGAAGUUUUAUCUGUAACAAUCUCCAGAUAUGUGAAGGUGAUUUUGAGGUGGAGUCCAGUCAAGAUGGUGGCACAGAGAUGGCUCAACGCUGGGCAACCAUGUAAUUGCUUAGCCACAGGCAAAAGUGAGGCAAGCGUUAAAACACAGGCAAAACCAAACACCACUGGAUAGGUUUCAAUGAGACAGAGGCCCCGAGAGCCUGAAGCAAGUUCGAGUGGAGCAAAGAGACAAAACAGAGAAAGAGCCCCGGAAGAACAGCUACCUGACGAGUUAUGGAAGGGGACCCCCCUUCCGUACAAUAACAUCCAGCCACCCCCCUCUCCGUUUCAGUCAUCAGUAUCUCUCAACA